CCGUGCAAAUCCGGGCUCAUUGUCAGGCUGGCAGCAUUGGCCAGGCCUGAGUAAAUCAAGUGAAACAGAAGACAGAUGGAUGUGACCAAGUUAUUGCCAAGAGGAAACAGACAAGGAUCUUGCUCUGUUACCCAGGCUGGAAGACAGUGGUGUGGACACAGCUCACUAUGGCCUGGACCGUCCUGGGAUGAAGCGAUCCUCCCACCUCAGCCUCCCAAGUAGCUAGAUCUAUAGACACAUGCCACUAUGCCAGGCUAAUUAUUUUAUUUUUUUGUAGAGAUGGGGUCUCACUUUUUUGCUCAGGUUGGUCCCAAACUCCUGGUCUCAAGUGAUCCUCCUGCCUCAGCCUCCCCAAGUGCUGGGAUUACCCCUGUGCCUAAAGUCUAUUUUUUUUUUUUCUUUAAGGAUCUCUUACCAUCUUUGAGAAGAGUAUCUUGUAUGAAUUGUAGAGACGCAUGAUAGAAGUCAGGAAGAGUGGCUGGGUUGAGGGAGGCUUUUUAUUGCAAUAAUCCAGGUGUCAGGGGACAAGAAGCAGGACUAGGACAUUAAUAGCUGGGAUGGAGAGAUUAGGGAACUUUCGAAAGCAAAUGGAGGAAAGGGUAAAGUCAGGGUGUGGUAGCUAGUUUCUAAAGAUUGUUCCCAGUGAACCACACCCAGUAGUGUUGUCUCACAUUGAUUCUGGACUGGGCCAUUCAAACUGAGGGAAUGAGGCAAGAUGGUACUACGUUGACUUCUCAUGACUUCCAAGGCUAGGUUGGAGGAAGGUUUGCCUGGGCCUCUUGGAAUGAGAACCCAGCUCUCACGCCGUGAGAAGCCCAAACCACCCAGCUGAGCUCCUAGCUACCAGCCAGCAUCACCCACCAG
rnacentral:lncRNA from 1 species